CAACUUUCAGCAACGGAUCUCUUGGCUCUCGCAUCGAUGAAGAACGCAGCGAAAUGCGAUAAGUAAUGUGAAUUGCAGAAUUCAGUGAAUCAUCGAAUCUUUGAACGCACCUUGCGCUCCUUGGUACUCCGAGGAGCAUGCCUGUUUGAGUGUCAUGG
rnacentral:rRNA from 1 species